CGAACGCUGGCGGCGUGCUUACCACAUGCAAGUCGCACGGAAAGGCCCUGCUUUUGUGGGGUGCUCGAGUGGCGAACGGGUGAGUAACACGUGAGUAACCUGCCCUUGACUUUGGGAUAACUUCAGGAAACUGGGGCUAAUACCGGAUAGGAGCUCCUGCUGCAUGGUGGGGGUUGGAAAGUUUCGGCGGUUGGGGAUGGACUCGCGGCUUAUCAGCUUGUUGGUGGGGUAGUGGCUUACCAAGGCUUUGACGGGUAGCCGGCCUGAGAGGGUGACCGGCCACAUUGGGACUGAGAUACGGCCCAGACUCCUACGGGAGGCAGCAGUGGGGAAUAUUGCACAAUGGGCGGAAGCCUGAUGCAGCAACGCCGCGUGCGGGAUGACGGCCUUCGGGUUGUAAACCGCUUUCGCCUGUGACGAAGCGUGAGUGACGGUAAUGGGUGAAGAAGCACCGGCUAACUACGUG
rnacentral:rRNA from 1 species